AUUGAACGCUGGCGGCAUGCUUUACACAUGCAAGUCGAACGGUAACAGGCCUUCGGGCGCUGACGAGUGGCGAACGGGUGAGUAAUGCAUCGGAACGUGCCCAGUCGUGGGGGAUAACGCAGCGAAAGCUGCGCUAAUACCGCAUACGAUCUAUGGAUGAAAGCGGGGGACCGUAAGGCCUCGCGCGAUUGGAGCGGACGAUGUCAGAUUAGGUAGUGGGUGGGGUAAAGGUUCACCAAGCCAACGAUCUGUAGCUGGUCUGAGAGGACGACCAGCCACACUGGGACUGAGACACGGCCCAGACUCCUACGGGAGGCAGCAGUGGGGAAUUUUGGACAAUGGGCGCAAGCCUGAUCCAGCAAUGCCGCGUGCAGGAAGAAGGCCUUCGGGUUGUAAACUGCUUUUGUACGGAACGAAACGGUCCUGGUUAAUACCUGGGGCUAAUGACGGUACCGUAAGAAUAAGCACCGGCUAACUACGUGCCAGCAGCCGCCGUAAGAC
rnacentral:rRNA from 1 species